rnacentral:ncRNA from 1 species
GAGAGCCGGAUGAUCAGGAAACUAUCAUGUCCGGUUCGGAGGGAGGCCGCAUGGAAAAGGACCUGCCCAACAGGCACCUCGCCAUGCGGCCGACCCUAC